rnacentral:lncRNA from 1 species
UCAUAUAGCAGAUUGGCUCAACUCGAGUUCAUUUGUGAAUCUCAUAGAAACUCUUUUUAGUAUUCACUCUAACUCUGGUCAGAGACUUUCUGAACUCAGUCUUGCGAAUUACAUAGGACUACUUCUUUUGUAUCAAGAUCAAUAGAUUCCAUCUAGGUGCAUCCUACUCCAAACAGCGAAUCUGAAUCUACAAUAGCCAAUAUAUACAGCAA